GUGCAUAAUGAAAUGACCAAAAAGGCCCUUGAGAAAACAUGAAUUCGGCCAAACAAAUAGACGUGGAGCGACCUCGGCACGUCGCUGCGAGAGGUCGCUCCCGGGUCGUUUCCUCGCGAGCGACCUGGCUGUGUCGCUCCGAAGACGUCGCUCCCGGCUUGCUCAGAAACCAUAGACGCGAGCGACCUUAGGGUGUCGCUCUAGGAGGUCGCUCCCGGCUUGUUCGUCGCUCUCAAAUCGACACAACCCGAGCGACCUCUGGGUGUCGC
rnacentral:lncRNA from 1 species